AAGUCUUCGAUUUCGUUUUUAUAGUCAAUUCAUUUAUUUCCUGCAAGUAUUCUCCAAUUAAGAAUCUAAAGAAAAAGGUAACUCAAAAUUCUAAUUUUAAUUUACUCGCUUCAAUUAGGUAUCACUUCACUGUUAACAAACAUUUAUUUUCUUUUCUUUUGUGUGUUGAUGUGGGGAAAGACGGCGUUGAGAGUAAGGACUUUGACCUUUGCGGUAAUAUAGACAUAUAUUUUCUUUCUGUUCUGGCCACUGUUGAAAUCCAUCGACGAUUGGAUAUUCCUUUUGCUAUUAAUGGAAAGUAUAACAUAAUUAUCAAGCAUUCAAGAUACUGGACUUUCCAGCAAAUUAACUAAUCAAUUUAUUCGUUUCUUCCAUAUGAUCUUUGAAAUUGAAACCUGUGUGUGUUGAAUGUCAUAACAACCUAGCAUAUUGGUGCCUUGGAUUCGCCUCCUGUGUUUGUGAACCUUCGUUAAUCAACCAGCUUUGGUUAAGAAAGCUCUAAGUGAGCUUCACGAAGGUUGGUGCUAUGAGCAUAUACAUGCUUUUGUGAAUCAAAGAAGAAAAAAGAUAUAGACAAAAUGAUUAUACCUUAGCUAAUGCAAGAAUUCGCACGACGAAGCUUAUAUCGUUGGGUGAAGUUGCCCUCUCCUAGUGAAUUGCUUGACUCGCCUUCCGGUUUCGACAUAAGAUUUUCUUUGAGAUAGCCAGUAUCUCCUAGUGCAGUAGGUGUCACAGGAGGAAGACAAGCAUACUGAUUUUGUUCAGAGAUGAGGAAGGAGCAUCCCAAUAACUUGCGGUCACAUACAAGGGGUUUGUCUAGUUUACGAAGUGAGUUAGCUGUGACUAAUGACGGAGUUUGAAUGUAUUCUUGGUCAGGUUCGGUCUUAAGAAUUUGUCUAUUUCUAUGAAACCUUUGGAGAAUGAUUAGAGAUGGAUGCUUCAGAACUUAAUCACUAGAAUCCUUAUUUUUAUUCUAAAUUCUGUGGCUCCUUUGAUGUUCUCACUUUUCAGCAUUGCCC
rnacentral:lncRNA from 1 species